rnacentral:rRNA from 1 species
GUCGAACGGAAAGGCCCCUAGCUUGCUGGGGGUACUCGAGUGGCGAACGGGUGAGUAACACGUGGGUGAUCUGCCCUGCACUUCGGGAUAAGCUUGGGAAACUGGGUCUAAUACCGGAUAUGAACGGUCUUUGGUGUGAUUGUUGGAAAGAUUUUUUCGGUGUGGGAUGAGCUCGCGGCCUAUCAGCUUGUUGGUGGGGUAAUGGCCUACCAAGGCGUCGACGGGUAGCCGGCCUGAGAGGGUGUACGGCCACAUUGGGACUGAGAUACGGCCCAGACUCCUACGGGAGGCAGCAGUGGGGAAUAUUGCACAAUGGGCGCAAGCCUGAUGCAGCGACGCCGCGUGGGGGAUGAAGGCCUUCGGGUUGUAAACUCCUUUCGCUAGGGACGAAGCCUUUUUUAAGGUGACGGUACCUGGAUAAGAAGCACCGGCUAACUACGUGCCAGCAGCCGCGGUAAUACGUAGGGUGCAAGCGUUGUCCGGAAUUACUGGGCGUAAAGAGCUCGUAGGUGGUUUGUCGCGUCGUCUGUGAAAUUCCGGGGCUUAACUCCGGGCGUGCAGGCGAUACGGGCAUAACUUGAGUGCUGUAGGGGAGACUGGAAUUCCUGGUGUAGCGGUGAAAUGCGCAGAUAUCAGGAGGAACACCGAUGGCGAAGGCAGGUCUCUGGGCAGUAACUGACGCUGAGGAGCGAAAGCAUGGGUAGCGAACAGGAUUAGAUACCCUGGUAGUCCAUGCCGUAAACGGUGGGCGCUAGGUGUAGGGGGCUUCCACGUCUUCUGUGCCGUAGCUAACGCAUUAA